rnacentral:rRNA from 1 species
UACGUAGGGGGCAAGCGUUGUCCGGAUUUAUUGGGCGUAAAGAGCGUGUAGGCGGCUUUGCAAGUCCGUUGUGAAAACUCGAGCUCAACCUCGAGACGCCGGUGGAAACUGCAAAGCUAGAGUCCGGAAGAGGAGAGUGGAAUUCCUGGUGUAGCGGUGGAAUGCGCAGAUAUCAGGAGGAACACCAAUAGCGAAGGCAGCUCGCUGGGACGUUACUGACACUGAGGCGCGAAAGCGUGGGGAGCGAACAGG